AAUCCAUGCAUCGGGCAUUUUUGAAUUAAAUCUUUGAAUUGUUCCCAAGCUUCAUAUAGUGUUUCAUCCUCUAAUUACCGAAAAGAUGUGAUGUCAUUUAUAUGCUU
rfam:Gossypium raimondii Chr06_contig_420, whole genome shotgun sequence.